rnacentral:rRNA from 1 species
AACGAACGCUGGCGGCGUGGAUAAGACAUGCAAGUCGAACGAUCACUGUUGGAUAGCAAUAUUCGGUAGUGAAAGUGGCGCAAGGGUGUGUAACACGUGGGUAAUUUGCCGUGAAGUCUGGAAUAACUUGCUGAAAGGUGAGCUAAUGCCGGAUGUUAUCUCUGGAAGGCAUCUUUCAGAGUUUAAAGUCGGGGACCGCAAGGCCUGACGCUUUUCGAUAAACCCGCGGCCUAUCAGCUAGUUGGUAAGGUAACGGCUUACCAAGGCCAAGACGGGUAGCUGGUCUGAGAGGACGACCAGCCACACUGGAACUGAGACACGGUCCAGACACCUACGGGUGGCUG